UCCAUCUAAAACCAGGUGCGGUCGCGGCCUCCAGGCGAUAACCUGGGUGGUUUCGCGCCGCAUUCCUGCACCCUUUUUUUACGAGCACCUUUGUUCUCCUUCGGCGGGGGCAACCUGCCGCUGGAACUUGAUAAAUCUUUUUUCGCAUCUAGCAUUACCUGUUCUGAUACAAAUAAUCGUUA
rnacentral:misc_RNA from 1 species